GGGAGGACGCUCACCACUUUGUGGUUCAUGACUGGGGUGAAGUCGUAACAAGGUAGCCCUAGGGGAACCUGGGGCUGGAUCACCUCCUUAUACGAAGAUA
rnacentral:rRNA from 1 species